GGAGAGGUCGCAUAGUGGUCGAGUGCCUUCGAUUGGAAAUCGAAUGUAUCCGCAAGGGUACCGUGGGUUCGAAUCCCACCCUCUCCG
rnacentral:tRNA from 1 species